rnacentral:sRNA from 1 species
GCCAGGUGUGGUGGCAUACUCCUGUAAUCCCAGGGGCUCUGGAGGCUGAGACAGGAGGAUCAUGAGUUCAAAGCUAGACUCAUCAACGGUGAGGCACUAAGCAACUCAGUGAGAUUCUGUCUCUA